UACGUAGGGUGCUAGCGUUGUCCGGAUUUAUUGGGCGUAAAGCGCACGUAGGCGGCUUUGCAAGUCAGAGGUGAAAGCCCGGGGCUCAACCCCGGAAUUGCCUUUGAGACUGCAUCGCUAGAAUUGUGGAGAGGUAAGUGGAAUUCCGAGUGUAGAGGUGAAAUUCGUAGAUAUUCGGAAGAACACCAGUGGCGAAGGCGACUUACUGGACACAUAUUGACGCUGAGGUGCGAAAGCGUGGGGAGCAAACAGG
rnacentral:rRNA from 1 species